UACGGGGGAUGCGAGCGUUAUCCGGAUUUAUUGGGUUUAAAGGGCGCGUAGGCGGGACGCCAAGUCAGCGGUAAAAGACUGCAGCUAAACUGUAGCACGCCGUUGAAACUGGCGCCCUCGAGACGAGACGAGGGAGGCGGAACAAGUGAAGUAGCGGUGAAAUGCUUAGAUAUCACUUGGAACCCCGAUAGCGAAGGCAGCUUCCCAGGCUCGAUCUGACGCUGAUGCGCGAGAGCGUGGGUAGCGAACAGG
rnacentral:rRNA from 2 species